ensembl:snRNA U6 U6 spliceosomal RNA
GCUUGCUCCCAUAGCACAGAGAAAAUUGGGAGGGUGUCAGAAAGAUUAGCAUGGCCCCUGCACAAGGAUGAUGUGAAUUUGUGAAGCAUUCCAUUUUUUU